rnacentral:tRNA from 1 species
GGUCCCAUCGUCUAGCGGUCUAGGACGUCAGAUUCUCAUUCUGAAAACACGGGUUCGAUUCCCGUUGGGACUGCCA